UAUUAGAAUUAAGAAUACCGGCUGCCGAAGAAUAGACGUCGUGUUGCAUUCUAUUUGUUGUUAUGCUUGUUGUGUUCUGAAUUACUAUCUACUUGCCUACCCGGAAAUGGAGCGUCUGAAUCCUCCAGAGCAUAUUGCAAAGCAGAAAAAUUAUCAGUAGAAACAAAGAAACAGAAAGUUGUCAAGGAACAGAAGAAAGAAAGACAUUUGGAAAGACUUACUAAACAUCGAUGAAGAAGACUAUGUUACUGCAGAAACUCUGGAUGAAAAGAUUGCAGAAGCAUUGGAAAAUCCAAGGGACUACAACUUUGCACUCACUCGCUCAGGUGAAGUGUUGACUGCAGAAUCGAGAAAACAAGAAUUAUUACCAGUACAAGGAUGGUAAUAUUGACAUUUUGAU